AGCAGCCGCGGUAAUUCCAGCUCCAAUAGCGUAUAUUAAAGUUGUUGCAGUUAAAAAGCUCGUAGUUGAAUUUCGGGAUUGACACAUCGGUCGUGCCUUAAGGGGUAUGAACUGGUGUAGUCAAUUUCUCACCUUCUGGAGAACCGCGAUGCCCUUAAUUGGGUGUCGUGGGGAACCAGGACCUUUACUUUGAAAAAAUUAGAGUGUUUAAAGCAGGCAUUUUGCUUGAAUACAUUAGCAUGGAAUAAUAAAAUAGGACGGCAUGAUUCUAUUUUGUUGGUUUCUAGGAUCACCGUAAUGAUUAAUAGGGAUAGUUGGGGGCAUUAGUAUUCAAUUGUCAGAGGUGAAAUUCUUGGAUUUAUUGAAGACUAACUACUGCGAAAGCAUUUGCCAAGGAUGUUUUCAUUAAUCAAGAACGAAGUUAGGGGAUCGAAGACGAUCAGAUACCGUCGUAGUCUUAACCAUAAACUAAUGCCGACUAGGAAUCAGACGAUGUUAAUUUUUAAUGUACUCGUUUGGC
rnacentral:rRNA from 1 species